CGACAGGCUUAACACAUAGCAAGUCGAGGGGCAUCACGGGAGUAGCAAUACAACGUGGUGGCGACCGGCGCGACGGUGAGUAACGCGUAUGCAACCUACCUAUCAGAGGGGAAUAACCCGGCGAAAGUCGGACUAAUACCGCAUAAAACAGGGGCACCGCAUGGUGAUAUUUGUUAAAGAAAUUCGCUGAUAGAUGGGCAUGCGUUCCAUUAGGUAGUUGGUGAGGUAACGGCUCACCAAGCCGACGAUGGAUAGGGAACUGAGAGGUUGGUCCCCCACACUGGUACUGAGACACGGACCAGACUCCUACGGGAGGCAGCAGUGAGGAAUAUUGGUCAAUGGGCGGGAGCCUGAACCAGCCAAGUCGCGUUGAAGGAAGAAGGAUCUAUGGUUCGUAAACUUCUUUUGCAGGGGAAUAAAGUGCAGGACGUGUCCUGUUUUGUAUGUACCCUGAGAAUAAGGAUCGGCUAACUCCGUGCCAGCCGCUGC
rnacentral:rRNA from 1 species